rnacentral:rRNA from 1 species
UUCGGAUGAUUCUUAACUGACUGAGCGGCGGACGGGUGAGUAACGCGUGGGUGACCUGCCCCAUACCGGGGGAUAACAGCUGGAAACGGCUGCUAAUACCGCAUAAGCGCACAGAGCUGCAUGGCUCGGUGUGAAAAACUCCGGUGGUAUGGGAUGGGCCCGCGUCUGAUUAGGCAGUUGGCGGGGUAACGGCCCACCAAACCGACGAUCAGUAGCCGGCCUGAGAGGGCGACCGGCCACAUUGGGACUGAGACACGGCCCAAACUCCUACGGGAGGCAGCAGUGGGGAAUAUUGCACAAUGGGGGAAACCCUGAUGCAGCGACGCCGCGUGAGCGAAGAAGUAUUUCGGUAUGUAAAGCUCUAUCAGCAGGGAAGAAAAUGACGGUACCUGACUAAGAAGCCCCGGCUAACUACGUGCCAGCAGCCGCGGUAAUACGUAGGGGGCAAGCGUUAUCCGGAUUUACUGGGUGUAAAGGGAGCGUAGACGGCAAGGCAAGUCUGAUGUGAAAACCCAGGGCUUAACCCUGGGACUGCAUUGGAAACUGUCUGGCUCGAGUGCCGGAGAGGUAAGCGGAAUUCCUAGUGUAGCGGUGAAAUGCGUAGAUAUUAGGAGGAACACCAGUGGCGAAGGCGGCCUGCUGGACUGUUACUGACACUGAGGCACGAAAGCGUGGGGAGCAAACAGGAUUAGAUACCCUGGUAGUCCACACCGUAAACGAUGAUUACUAGGUGUUGGAGGAUUGACCCCUUCAGUGCCGCAGUUAACACAAUAAGUAAUCCACCUGGGGAGUACGACCGCAAGGUUGAAACUCAAAGGAAUUGACGGGGGCCCGCACAAGCAGUGGAGUAUGUGGUUUAAUUCGAAGCAACGCGAAGAACCUUACCAGGUCUUGACAUCGGAUGCAUAGCCUAGAGAUAGGUGAAGCCCUUCGGGGCAUCCAGACAGGUGGU